CCUACGGGAGGCAGCAGUGGGGAAUAUUGGUCAAUGGGCGCAAGCCUGACCCAGCCACGUCGCGUGAAGGAAGAAGGCUCUCGGGUUGUUAACUUCUUUUUUCAGGGACGAAGCAAGUGACGGUACCUGAUGAAUAAGCCUCCGCUAACUACGUGCCAGCAGCCGCUGCAAGACGUAGGCGGCAAGCGUUAUCCGGAUUUACUGGGUGUAAAGGGUGUGUAGGCGGGAAAGCAAGUCAGAUGUGAAAACCAUGGGCUCAACCUGUGGCCUGCAUUUGAAACUGUUUGUCUUGAGUACUGGAGAGGCAGACGGAAUUCCUGGUGUAGCGGUGAAAUGCGUAGAUAUUAGGAGGAACACCGGUGGCGAAGGCAGUCUGCUGGACAGCAACUGACGCUGAGGCGCGAAAGCGUGGGGAGCAAACAGGAUUAGAUACCCGUGUAGUC
rnacentral:rRNA from 1 species